GCCGCCCUCCCCCGGCCUCCCUCGGCGCUGCGCCGCCCUCUCAGCGCGACCGCCCCCCCGGGCCUGCCCGGGUGCCCUCGGCGCCGCCCCUGCCCCUCUGCCCCCGGCUGGUCUCUCGUUUCUGUCUGUGCGGUGCCGCACGGGCAGGUGUUGGGCAAUUUGUCCCCGUGUUCAGGAUGAAGCGUGGUUAAGAAGACCGUCGCCAGCUAGUAAAACCAGCCGGGGGGUCUCAUUUUCAUUGGAGUUAUCACACGUAUAAAAACCCAAUUGCUCUUGUGCUGUAGUUCCAGGCCGGUUGUUUCACCGAGAGCAGGGCAGCGCACCAGCAGUCUGAAGGCCAUGUACGUACUGGGCUGCGUGAAGUGAGUUUGCUGCUGUGCAAAGUUCAGCGAUUCCUCCUUGCGUGUUGGCACUAACAUCGUUGUCUGAUUCUAGGGGCCUGAGCUGUAACAGGGAAUUCCCUGCUGCUGCUUUCCUACAGCUCUGUGGGGAAGCAAACUGAGCCUUCUGCUGCGCUAAGCUUGCUCCCAGAUAAGAACGAGGGGAAUCUUUUUCCUGCUUUUUUUGUGCCGGGCAGGUCGCUGGAGACUUGCAAACGUGACUGUGCCGUGUUAGACUACUCCCUGGCCUUUUUUCUCCUGUUCCCGUGUUGUCUUUGUUCUGGGUUUGGAAACUCCAGCACUUACUACGUCCUCUCUCUUGGGCAGGAGGCUUCUCACAGGUUUGCUCUGCCGGUGAGUGGCCCAGAAGGAAUGAUCAAGCAGGAGAACUUUGUGCUGAGCACGUCAGGAAGGCUAUUGCUACCAGAGACAACUUGCUGCCACGAUGCUUGGACUCUUCUCCUCAAUGUCUACGGAUACUGAAAGUCAUCUGUGAACUGCACUUGUAUCCCCAUGACCCAUGUGGCCGACCAGCAGAGCUAGGAGGUGAUGGGUUUCAGAACAAGUUUUGCACUCUCUCUGCUGCUGUAGGAGUCAGGAGAUGCUCUGUCUCUAGCUGCCCGUUUUAAAGUAUUGCCUUAUUUUUUCCUGACGACUUGAUGUGUUUUGCCACUACCCUUCCUUUCUGUUCUUCUGACUAAGCUCAUUUCACAAUUUUUCAACCGUCCGUAUGUCCUCUUCCUCUCUGUGCCCCACAGAAACCUGCAAACAGGUGUCUUGACACGCUAGAGCUUGGGGCUUCCUCAGCGUGCCUGUGCUUCGCAGCCCUGCAUGUUACCUGCUCUGUGCCCUGUAGUAGCUGCUGCACUUUCUCUGCUCUCUUUCUCCCACAGCUGGGUGAACUGAAGGCGAGUAUUUCAUUCUAAACCAGUGUUAUCGACUUAAUCAGAUCUGCCCUCCAUGUUACAACCCCUCUCUCUUUUUCAAGAGUGUUGCACUAUAUUAGGAGAAAAGUCCAUGUUUUAAGAGAAGUAACAGCCUUUUAAAACCAGGGUGUGUGACUUGAUUUGUUCUGCCAUCCAAGCCCCGCCAACCUCUUUUUCUCCCAAACACUGAUUGCGGUUGACUGCUGGCAGAAGCUGGUUUCUAUGCCUGAACAUCUUUAAUAAAGGUCUCUCAGGUAUUAGCAGAAUGGAGAGGUUUCUUUCUAUAUAAAAUAUGGCAUUUAGAAAAAAACUCUAAAAUGAUGGGUUUAAUUUACCAGUCUGUGGCCAUAAUCCAGGGGCUACUAUAGCCAAACCUGUGCAGUUUCCUACUGAAAGCUGUAAUGCAGUCAUUAAUUUUUGACCAUACGCUCAUGUGUUGCAUCAGGGCACUGCUGUCAGAGCAGUUCUUGCCGGGGGAGUUUGUCUGGUUCUGGUGAAUGGAGUUAAAAGACCUGAAUUCAGGCCUUGGUUCAGCUUCUGACUCUGACCUUGGGCUCUGAUCUCGGGACUCUUAACCUUUGUCUUAAUCUCCCUAAGACAGCAGUGAUAAGUCUACCUGUGUGAUUGCUGUGUUUCUGAAAGUUUCCUUCUUCACAGUUUUUAAGAAGGGCUUGAAAUUGAUGAAUCUUGUUUUCAGUAAUUAAAAUCCAUCUUGACAACAGCAA